UCGUAAAUGGAAUAACCAAUCAUUAGGUACUUUUUUCCCUAAUCUCCUCGUUUAUGGUGGGGACAUUCAGUUUCGUAAUGAUGAAGUGAUUCGUAGUCGUAGUCUCAUAGUAGUCAUUGAGUGUCAAGGAAGAUAACUGUUGAAACGCGAUGGGCUUGGAGGAUUACAAAGAAAUUGUGGCAUCAUGUGCCUCAAUUUGUACAAUGGCUCAAAUGUCAGCUGGCACAUUGAUAUGUAAGGAUAUUUAUCAAAAGGGCUCGUCUAGAGGAUUUGAUCCCAUGCCUUUUUUGGGUGGCAUAGGAAUGUGCAUCUUGAUGCUUCAAUAUGCAUGGAUUGUGAGGGAUCCUGCAAUGAUUAAUGUUAAUGUUUUUGGAUUACUCACAAAUACAGCAUACAUGGCUGUAUAUUAUUAUUACUCACCACACACGAAGGAUACACUUGCUUUAAUAGGCAAGGCAGCAGUCUUUGUAGCGGUCUUCCUCGCGUAUGCACAAGUGGAAGAUCCCGAGAAGCUCGAAUUCAGAUUCGGUUUGAUUGUGACAGGAUUAUUUUUCCUCUUAAUAGCGUCUCCUCUCCUACAUAUUAGGGAGAUCAUAAAGACGAAAAACACGGAUAUCCUUCCGUUCCCGCUGAUAUUUAUGGGCACAAUCGUUAUAUUUUUAUGGCUAUUGUACGGCAUUAUAAUUAACAACGUCUUCAUUAUCUUUCAGAACUCGGUAGGUUUUGUUUUGUCUGUGGCGCAAUUGUCCCUGUUCGUGAUAUAUCCAUCGAAAUCGAAAGGCAAAGCUUCCAGCCAAGAAAAGAAGGAUUAAGAAAAGUGAUAUUGUAAAUAUUGGAACUGUGUAGGAUGUCUUGUGCGUCCAACUGUUACAAUUUUUCUACACGCCUACAAAUUAGCAACUAAAAUAAGAUCCUGAAUAUUCUCGAGCGUAAAAAUCUCUAUAUAGGCUAAGAGUUUGUUUAAUGCUGUUAUUUUUGCUCGUAAUCUUUACCAGAUUAAUUUGUACAAUUACCGUGACACGAUAAAUCAAGUCACCAAUUUUCAAUGUAGCGCAAAAUACGUAUUAGCAUAAUUUAAGACAUAUUAGAAUAUACAUAUAGAAAUCAAAUAAUUGAAAGUUAAUCAGAAUUUGUGUACAUUGCGGAAGUUUUACAGCGGAAUAAUACUUAGAUGAUUAUAGUCGGAGUACUUUGUCAGCUAUUAAAACAGUUGACAAAUUUAUAAACGCUUCUAUCUUCUAAAUCAUCGAUUAGUAUAUUUAUAUUUAGCGAUCUUCAUAUUCUACGCUACAAAGUAACUUCUCUUCAGAAUUGAAAUGCACAAUAUUAUAUAUAAUCGUGUUUAACAUGAUUGUUGCGAUCGUGAAGUUUAUAAUUUUAUCAGAGUAACAUAUUUAAUUAAUCGGUUAGAUAUAUCUUUUAAUCGCAUAAUCAUUAAAUAAUACUUUAAGCUUAAGUAAAACAUUUAUAGUACAUGAAUUUUCAGUGUACAGAAGUUUCCAUUGUCGAUAUUGUACAAAAUAUGGUUAAAAUCUUCUCCAAGUCUAUAUUACUUUUAGUAUCCACAGAUUAUUAAGUGAUAUUAUACUUUUAUAUCCUA